GGCAAUAUUGCUCAGUGGUAGAAUGCCUGCUUAGCAAGCAGAAGACCCUGAGUUCAAGCCUCAGUACCU
rnacentral:tRNA from 1 species